rnacentral:lncRNA from 1 species
GCCGACGCCUACAAGUGGAUAGAUGGGGGCAUAAUGUACAGCGGCAACUUUUACAUUAAUAUGAAGCCUGGAAAUAAUGUGUAUGGUAUACGUUUAUGAUAAAUAUGAUGAAUGUGUUCAGCUUUUACAAAACCAGAACGAUAAGUUGUAUGUUAACGUUUCUUAUUUUUUUUUUAAAUUUUUUACCUUUUUAAUUUAAUUUGGUUUUAUUGGCUUUUUUUAAACUUAAUUUGAUUCGAGUGUCUUUGAUUAGUCUUUUGUAGACGAAACGCGCGUCAGGCGCAAAUAAAAAAUUUACACCCGGGUAACUAUCUAUGAAGAGUUUAUGUAGAAACCUUAUAAAAAUUUCCUGACUCCAGGCUACCGAUAAUUGAUUUUACUCUUAAUUUCGGCGUAAUAAGAUAUCGAAAACCUCCCACAUUCCAGAUACCACAACGUUCAUUGGGACACCAUGAAUUCAGAUUUCCUACCGUACAAAUACUUAGAACUGAAAUUAUUGAUACAAGGCAAUAUACGAUCGUCAUGCAAACGAUAAAAAAAAUGAAAACAAAACGUUAAAAGUUACGACCGAAGCGCUUUUCUGGAUCAGGAACGCUCAAAGCUGAAUAUCUAAGGCCAACAAUUUAUAGCUGACUAUGCGGUAUGGGAUUUGCUCAUUGUUGAAGGCCGUACGGUGACCUAUAGUUGUUAAUGUCUGUGUCAUGUUGGCCUUUUGUGGAUAGUUGUCUCAUUGGCAAUCAUACCACAUCUUCUUUUUUAUAAUUAAUAAAGAAAGGAAAUUGUUGCUGAUUAAAACGUUAAAGAUGAUCAUUAAAGAUUUAUUCAUCUACCGACAUGAUUGCAGAAAGUAAGAAAUAGUAGAGAAAAAAAGAAAAAGUUGAAAUCAAAUGAGAUAAUACAACGUGUAUUGAACCAUUUUAUUGCUUAAAGUCCAGCAGAAAACACAUAUAUACUCAGCCUAACCAUACUAUUUGACCUACUGCGAGUUAAUCAGUUUUUACUGUUACUCCUAAAAUAUGGGUGCUGGGUAAAUCAUCAUGUAAAAUGGUCAUUAUCAGAGCCGUGUGUCUUGGUUCAAAAUGAAUUAUCUUCUUUUGAGAAAUAUUUAUUUUGUCAUCCUAUUUUUCACCUCAUAGAACUGUCCGUACCUGUGGUUUUAUUCUAUACAUUAACUUUUAUGUAUCAGCAUGUUUUCAUUUCAUUCUGUUUCGUUUCGUUUCACUUUUAUUUCGUUUCCCAGUUUACAGGUACCCCUCUUUUUGCCCCUUUUCUAUUUUUGAUAUUUUAAUCAAAAGUUUAAAAAAACCAAACAUUCAAAAAGUGAAAAAAUCAAAAUUGCACGUUAGGUUUAGUAUUUUAAAAGUUUGAUCAAAUUUCUAAACUAUCAAAUUUAAAAACGAUAUUUAGAAUUUUAAUAUUUUAAUAAUU